rnacentral:rRNA from 1 species
GUAGGGCGGGACACGUGGUAUCCUGUCUGAAUAUGGGGGGACCAUCCUCCAAGGCUAAAUACUCCUGACUGACCGAUAGUGAACCAGUACCGUGAGGGAAAGGCGAAAAGAACCCCGGCGAGGGGAGUGAAAAAGAACCUGAAACCGUGUACGUACAAGCAGUGGGAGCACCUUCGGGUGUGACUGCGUACCUUUUGUAUAAUGGGUCAGCGACUUAUAUUCUGUAGCAAGGUUAACCGUAUAGGGGAGCCGAAGGGAAACCGAGUCUUAACUGGGCGUUAAGUUGCAGGGUAUAGACCCGAAACCCGGUGAUCUAGCCAUGGGCAGGUUGAAGGUUGGGUAACACUAACUGGAGGACCGAACCGACUAAUGUUGAAAAAUUAGCGGAUGACCUGUGGCUGGGGGUGAAAGGCCAAUCAAACCGGGAGAUAGCUGGUUCUCCCCGAAAGCUAUUUAGGUAGCGCCUCGUGAACUCAUCUUCGGGGGUAGAGCACUGUUUCGGCUAGGGGGCCAUCCCGGCUUACCAACCCGAUGCAAACUACGAAUACCGAAGAAUGUUAUCACGGGAGACACACGGCGGGUGCUAACGUCCGUCGUGAAGAGGGAAACAACCCAGACCGCCAGCUAAGGUCCCAAAGUCAUGGUUAAGUGGGAAACGAUGUGGGAAGGCCCAGACAGCCAGGAUGUUGGCUUAGAAGCAGCCAUCAUUUAAAGAAAGCGUAAUAGCUCACUGGUCGAGUCGGCCUGCGCGGAAGAUGUAACGGGGCUAAACCAUGCACCGAAGCUGCGGCAGCGACACUAUGUGUUGUUGGGUAGGGGAGCGUUCUGUAAGCCGUUGAAGGUGGCCUGUGAGGGCUGCUGGAGGUAUCAGAAGUGCGAAUGCUGACAUAAGUAACGAUAAAGCGGGUGAAAAGCCCGCUCGCCGGAAGACCAAGGGUUCCUGUCCAACGUUAAUCGGGGCAGGGUGAGUCGACCCCUAAGGCGAGGCCGAAAGGCGUAGUCGAUGGGAAACAGGUUAAUAUUCCUGUACUUGGUGUUACUGCGAAGGGGGGACGGAGAAGGCUAUGUUAGCCGGGCGACGGUUGUCCCGGUUUAAGCAUGUAGGCGGAGGUUCCAGGUAAAUCCGGUACCUUUUAACGCUGAGGUGUGAUGACGAGGCACUACGGUGCUGAAGUAACAAAUGCCCUGCUUCCAGGAAAA